UGGGGAAUUUUCCGCAAUGGGCGAAAGCCUGACGGAGCAAUACCGCGUGAGGGAGGAAGGUUUUUGGAUUGUAAACCUCUUUUUUAAAGGAAGAAGAAAGUGACGGUACUUUAAGAAUAAGCAUCGGCUAACUCCGUGCCAGCAGCCGCGGUAAUACGGAGGAUGCAAGCGUUAUCCGGAAUCAUUGGGCGUAAAGCGUCCGCAGGUGGUUAAUCAAGUCUGCUGUUAAAGACAGAAGCUCAACUUCUGGUCGGCAGUGGAAACUGGGGAACUAGAGUACGGUAGGGGUUGAGGGAAUUCCCAGUGUAGCGGUGAAAUGCGUAGAUAUUGGGAAGAACACCAGUGGCGAAGGCGCUCAACUGGGCCGUAACUGACACUCAGGGACGAAAGCUAGGGUAGCGAAAGGG
rnacentral:rRNA from 1 species